rnacentral:rRNA from 1 species
GACGAACGCUGGCGGCGUGCUUAACACAUGCAAGUCGAACGGUAAGGCCCUUCGGGGUACACGAGUGGCGAACGGGUGAGUAACACGUGGGUGAUCUGCCCUGCACUUCGGGAUAAGCCUGGGAAACUGGGUCUAAUACCGGAUAGGACCACUGCCUGCAUGGGUGGUGGUGGAAAGCUUUUGCGGUGUGGGAUGGGCCCGCGGCCUAUCGGCUUGUUGGUGGGGUGAGGGCCUACCAAGGGGACGACGGGUAGCCGGCCUGAGAGGGGGAACGGCCACACUGGGACUGAGAUACGGCCCAGACUCCUACGGGAGGCAGCAGUGGGGAAUAUUGCACAAUGGGCGCAAGCCUGAUGCAGCGACGCCGCGUGAGGGAUGACGGCCUUCGGGUUGUAAACCUCUUUCAGCACCGACGAAGCGCAAGUGACGGUAGGUGCAGAAGAAGGACCGGCCAACUACGUGCCAGCCGCCGCAGUAA